AACGAACGCUGGCGGCAUGCCUAACACAUGCAAGUCGAACGAGACCUUCUGGUCUAGUGGCGCACGGGUGCGUAACGCGUGGGAACCUGCCCUUAGGUUCGGAAUAACUCCCCGAAAGGGGUGCUAAUACCGGAUAAUGUCUUCGGACCAAAGAUUUAUCGCCUUUGGAUGGGCCCGCGUUGGAUUAGCUAGUUGGUAGGGUAAAAGCCUACCAAGGCGACGAGCCAUAGCUGGUCUGAGAGGAUGAUCCGCCACACUGGGACUGAGACACGGCCCAGACUCCUACGGGAGGCAGCAGUGGGGAAUAUUGGACAAUGGGCGAAAGCCUGAUCCAGCAAUGCCGCGUGAGUGAUGAAGGCCUUAGGGUUGUAAAGCUCUUUUACCCGGGAUGAUAAUGACAGUACCGGGAGAAUAAGCUCCGGCUAACUCCGUG
rnacentral:rRNA from 1 species